CGACCCGACCCGUUAAAAUUAGUAUUCGGGUGGGUGGUUAACGGGUCGGGUAGUUAACGGGUCAACCCGUUAGUCACCCGUUACAUAACGGGUCAGUUUGGGUGAACCCGCGAAACCCAUUAGCCACCCGUUAAGACCCGUUUGUAAGGAUUUUUGUGUAAUUUCAAUAGCCCUAAUUCAAAACCUCAGGACCUCAGCCGUCAGCCCUCACGUUCCUCACCUCUCUCGCUGCCUCACACGCCAUUGCUCUCUGAGACUGAGAUCGCUGUGCAGCCUGUGCUCCUUCCUUCUAGCUCCGGUUAUCUCCCUCAUCUUCUUCCCUCAAAAACUUUACUGAACUCCACCACUCUCUCUCUGAGUAUUGAUUUCUUUGUUCAUGGGUUUUGUUCAUGCGUUUUGUUCAUGGGUUUGAAUCUUUGGAAUCUGUUUGGACUACUUUUGACUCCUCGGUUUGUCGCUGCACUCUAAAAUGGUCAUUAUCUGUAGGAAGGGCUUUGAUAAUUUCUUCCAUUUACAAAUUUUCUAUGGCGAGUGCGGAUAAUCAUGGAGGUAGGAACACGGAGCAGGUCUCAUGAUGAUGAUAUAUUUGUUUCCCUUAUACAUUGGAGUCUCUGUUAAGCUUUCGGGUGUAUAAAUAGAAGGCAGUUCCUGUAUAAUUCUUCUGGAUAAUCACUUGUUUCGGCUUAGCCUUUGUAUGGGGAAUUGAAAGGUAUUCACAAUAUAGAAAAUAGAAAAUUUCUUUGGCAUGCUGUGUGAUUUGAUUCAAGACCUCCUUUGUAGUAGCGCUUCGAACUCUAUAUUCUCGCUCUCUCUCUCUCUCUCUCUUCUUUUUUCCUCUAUCUUUAAUGGAAAACAAAAAUAGAAACAUUUCGAAACGGACCCUUUGUGUUUCCAUCCUCAGUUUAUGUUUCGUAAUUUGUCUGUUCUCCCAUAGAUAGCGUGUUGCUCAUAGCUUGUUAGAGCAUGUGUUGUUGUGAAAUGUCCGCACUCCGCAUGCAUGCUUUUUAUGCACAAGUCCUUGAACUUCUUGAAUUUGGAGGCUCUCACAUUCAAAAGUUCGGCAUGUCUCUUUCAGAUUGUGUGGUUUGAUUCUAGGCGGACUCUGAUUCACAAACAAAUACAAUUGUAGUGUUAAUACUCAACUCUGGGGUUUUUUUAAUUUUGAGUGGAGAUUGAAAACCCAGAAAUCAAAAUUUGGAUUUUUUACGAAUUUUGAUUCGAAUCUUCUGAUUUGUAUUGUCUUAGAAAAACCCGCUUGAUGGGAUAUAUGGUUAAUUGUGAUCAAAUAUGAUUUGUUUGUUUGGUGUUAAAGUAAUUGUUGUUUCUGUAGUUUAGAAUACACCGACUAUCGAGUGUAGGCAGAUAAACAUCAAAUGAUUUAAGAUAUAUGCUGUCUUCUUCGGAAUAUGGAUUGUCUGUCUCAAGCUUGUUUUUCGUUCGAUCGUUUUGUGCGUUGAGAUGUCUCACGGACAAUUUACAGUACUAUUUCUUGGAGUGAGUUAGUUUAGUUUUCUGUUAAGCAACAGGGCAUGGCAUGCAAUGCAGUUGUUUCAGAAAUUUGUAGUCCUACAAGGAGUUCAAGAUAGGUUCUUCCGACUUGAUCUCUACAAUUGGAACAUUGGUCCAUUGUGUUGUUUCUUACUUUCCUGUAAUUUGCUUUGACGUCGUAAUAUGCUGGUGAGGCAUGACAGCAGGCAGAGCUGUUGGCAUAAUACCCCCAAUGGAACAGAACCU